UCUCCUACGGGGGGCAGCAGUAGGGAAUCUUCCACAAUGGACGAAAGUCUGAUGGAGCAACGCCGCGUGAGUGAAGAAGGGUUUCGGCUCGUAAAGCUCUGUUGGUAGUGAAGAAAGAUAGAGGUAGUAACUGGCCUUUAUUUGACGGUAAUUACUUAGAAAGUCACGGCUAACUACGUGCCAGCAGCCGCGGUAAUACGUAGGUGGCAAGCGUUAUCCGGAAUGAUUGGGCGUAAAGGGUGCGCAGGCGGAACCAUAAGUCUGAAGUAAAAGCCAUCGGCUCAACCGAUGUAAGCUUU
rnacentral:rRNA from 1 species